rnacentral:rRNA from 1 species
AUUGAACGCUGGCGGCAUGCCUUACACAUGCAAGUCGAACGGCAGCACGGGCUUCGGUCUGGUGGCGAGUGGCGAACGGGUGAGUAAAGCAUCGGAACGUACCCGGAAGUGGGGGAUAACGUAGCGAAAGUUACGCUAAUACCGCAUAUUCUGUGCGCAGGAAAGAGGGGGAUCUUCGGACCUCUUGCUUUCGGAGCGGCCGAUGUCAGAUUAGCUAGUUGGUGGGGUAGAGGCCUACCAAGGCGACGAUCUGUAGCGGGUCUGAGAGGAUGAUCCGCCACACUGGGACUGAGACACGGCCCAGACUCCUACGGGAGGCAGCAGUGGGGAAUUUUGGACAAUGGGCGCAAGCCUGAUCCAGCCAUGCCGCGUGAGUGAAGAAGGCCUUCGGGUUGUAAAGCUCUUUCGGCCGGGAAGAAAUCGCACCAGUUAAUACCUGGUGUGGAUGACGGUACCGGAAUAAGAAGCACCGGCUAACUACGUGCCAGCCGCCGCCGUAAUAC